UAUAAAGAGACACAAGACGUUAUGUACAGAUGAUCAUAUGAUUCCAAGCUUUUUGUGUGGCAUCUAUUUCUUUGAAUCAGGUAUUGAAAUGCCUCUGCUAAGAACCAUGCAAGAUAUAUCGCAAAUUAAUGAUGUAGUGGUAAUCAAAAUGAUUAAACAAUUAAACUAGUCUUAAAUUGUCGGUAAGAAAAAGGGAUGCAAUUUUACAAAUUGCUUUGCCAUUUACCACAUAAUUCAGUUGCUAUGUUUUCUAAAGAAGACGUUAAAUGUUGGGAAGUUGUCUAGAGCAGACACAAAUGUUGCUAAGUUGUCUACAGCAGACAGAAGUUAAAUGUUGUUAAGUUGUCUAGAGCAGACAGAAGUUAAAUGUUGUUAAGUUGUCUACAGCAGACAGAAGUUAAAUGUUGUUAAGUUGUCUAGAGCAGACAGAAGUUAAAUGUUGUUAAGUUGUCUACAGCAGACAGAAGUUAAAUGUUGUUAAGUUGUCUACAGCAGAUAGAAGUUAAUGUUGUUAAGUUGUCUAGAGCAUACAGAGGUUAAAUGCCUUACCGAGUGUUAGAGUCAGGCCGCAGAGCACAACAGCGGCCAGCAGCAUGUGGGAUCGGAGGGCCAUCUCUGUUGGUUAAUUUGCUUGGAUGGGAGCUGUGCUGGUUGGGCUGCGCGUGCUGUGGUGUUCCCUUGGUGAUGCUCUAGCUGGAGGAUGCCCUAUGGGUUGCACUAUCAGCGUUUAUAAACACUAGAAAGAGGGAAGUGAAUCUGACUCAUCUCAGCUCACCACAACGCAGUCUGCUAUCUUCGGGGUCAGGGGUGGGACUACUAUAACAUUGGUCCUUUGGUAAGCCUCACUGACAAGAUCCACUGUUACCACAUACCACAAUUUCAUCAUGUGUGAACAGCUGAGUGAAACCUUUGGGAUAUUCUCAUUUGGGGCACCUUGUCUGAUUUGACUUUGGACAUGCUGGAGGGAGAAUUGUGUUGUUAUUGUUGCUGUUGUUGAUGUUUUUUUUGUUUUUUUUUGCACAAAUGCAACUGGAAAAUUGAAGGAGAAUGUCAGGUCUCUGCACCCUGGUAUAUGCUCAAAUAAUGCCUUUGAAAUACAAGACUUUGGUUGAUAUUGCACAGCACAAGUGAUUAUUGUGGUUAGAAGAUAUAAGGCUAUACAAACAAAUAUGAAUUUCAAAGUCAUAUUAUAUGUUUUAUGAUGACGAUGAUGGAAUGAUGGAAUGUACAGUAUGUGAUAGCCAAGUGUGCCAGCACCAGAUAGAAAAAGUGCUGACAGAUUUGACUGAGGAACAUGCAGUAAUAAAAUAAAUCCCCCUGCACACACACACACACACACACACACACACACACACACACACACACACACACACACACACACACACACACACACACACACACACACACACACACACUCAAAAUAAGCCAAUAUUUUCUUGAUCUCCACCGCUCGGUUGACAUCUUACUGGCAUUAUGCCUAAAAUAUCAUAGAGGGACAUUUUCUUGUGUUGUAAAUGUUUUGAAUUGUUUUUUUUAUAUAUAUCUUUAUGUAUUUUAUUCAGAUAUCACCUGUUUCUCCUGAACCUCUCUUAGAAACUUGUUUCUAUUUUUUUGUUUACUUUUUUAAUAAUUGAAUUUCCUUGUUUUUCACAACAAAAAUAAUAAACAUUAAGUAUUUUACAUA